rnacentral:lncRNA from 1 species
GCAUAUACGAUCGAGUUUCAAGCUUUGCACUUGCCGAAUCAGCGUUUAGACGUAAAUCUGUUUUUUCGUAUGAUCAUCAUAUUUCAGUUUGCGUUUACGUUUUGAUUUCUAUCAUAACUGCAAACUACCCUUAUAUCCUUGCUUAAACUGCAUCUCGCCUAAUCAAGUGAUUUACGAAUCAACAUUUAGACGUAAAUCAGUUUCUUCGUACG